AAAUGUGAGGAUGUGAUGCACAUCCAUCAGUGCAACUCGAGCUCCAUCCUCAUCUGAUUUCUAAGGUGCCGAUUUUCUGGAGGAACAGUCAUCAUGUUUUGAUUUAUCUGGGAGAAAAUUGUCAUGCCCAGCUACUGAAGAGGGCAAGGUUGUGACGUUCAAGUUUAGUUCUCAUACUAUUCUAUCUCCUCUUCUUUGUCGUCAGUCAAAAUGUGGUUUUUAAAGAAAGUCAUGCAGGUUAGAAAUAAUGUCAAAAAUAUUUAGGAAUUUAAUACCCUUUAAGUCAGAAGAUAAAACAAAUACUGAAGUAUUAGCUCUUCCUACACUUCGUGUUCCCCUUUAGCUGCCUGAAAAUCAAGAUUGUUCCUACUCAGAUCUUUUGAGUGGCUAAAACUUACGGAUGUGAAAAAUGAGAUUGAAUGAUGACUAUGUUUUCCUAUCAUUAUUACCUUUCCUCAAUACUAUUGGGCUACUACUGGGACUCUUCAGCACAAAAGGAAUAGGUCUAUGAUUGACCCUGAUUUUAAUUGUGAAAUUAUAUGAUUCAUGUAUUUUAUGAAUCAGAAUAACUUUCAAAUAAAAUAAAUCCAAGUAGGUUAAAAUGGAUUUCAUGACUUUCCCUCAGAAAAUGAGUAAUGGAGUCCAUGAUGUGCAAUGGUAAUUAUAAAUUGGUGAGGCUUGUUUGCAAAACGCCCACUAGUAAUAAGGCAACAGCCAAUAUUUAGAACUUUGUUCUUUACUGGAUUCACACUAACUUUCUCUAGUCUACUUCCAAUAUUAUUUAAUGUAACUGAUUGUAUAUAGUCUCAAGAAUGGUUAGUAGGCAUGAGUUCCUAGAGAACUGUCCAAGGGUUGGGAAAAUCCAAAUUCUCUUCCUGGUUCCAGCACUCAUUUUGUACAUAAACAUUAGGCAGGUUGCUUAACCUUUUUAUUUCAAACUCUCAACUCUAAAGUGCUAAUAAAUAAUCUCAGUUACCUUAUCUUUGUCACAGGGUGUUCUUUUUUAUGAAGAAAAAUUUGAAAAUGGUAAAAGCUAAGAUGCCUUUUAACUUCACAAGCAAACCUUUAACUAAUUAUGUAUCUAAAAGUCACCCCCCACAUACCAACUCAACUUUUUUCCUGUGAACACAUAAAUAUAUUUUUAUAGAAAAACAAAUCUACAGAAAAUAAAUCUACUGUUCUGUGAGCAGUAUGAUUUGUACAUGCCAUUGAAAAUUAUUAAUCAGAAGAAAAUUAAGCAGGGUCUUUGCUAUACAAAAGUGUUUUCCACUAAUUUUGCAUGCGUAUUUAUAAGAAAAAUGCGAAUUUGGUGGUUUUAUUCUAUUGGUAUAAAGGCAUUGAUAUUUUAGAUGCACCCACGUUUGUAAAAAUGUAGAGCACAAUGGAAUUAUGCUGGAAGUCUCAAAUAAUAUUUUUUCCUAUUUUAUAGUCAUGGAAGAGAUAAGCUAAAGAGAGGAAAAUAAUGAGAAAUGUUGGUGUGCUUUUCUAAGCAUUUAAAACGUAAUUGCCAAUUGAAAUCCUAAAUAUGUUUACAUGCCAUUAAGAUAUGAUUCUUGUAACAAUGUUAAAUUGAUUAUAAUGGGAUUGGGUUUGUUAUCUGUGGUAGUAUAUAUAUAUCCUAGUGUUCCUAUAGUGAAAUAAGUAGGGUCGAGCCAAAACUUUCUUUGUUUUGUACCUUAAAUUGUUUGAUUACAUCAUCAAAAGAAAUGAAAGGUAUGUAGAAUGGGUUCACCUGAUUACCUUUUUCUUUUGGCUUGGAUUAAUAUUCAUAGUAGAACUUUAUUAAAACGUGUUUGUAUUGUAGGUGGUGUUCGUAUUAUGCUUAUGACUAUGUAUGGUUUGAAAAUAUUUUCAUUAUACAUGAAAUUCAACUUUCCAAAUAAAAGUUCAACUUCAUGUAAUCCAAAAA
ensembl:lncRNA